rnacentral:rRNA from 1 species
ACGGGAGGCAGCAGUGAGGAAUAUUGGUCAAUGGGCGAGAGCCUGAACCAGCCAAGUCGCGUGAAGGAUGACUGCCCUACGGGUUGUAAACUUCUUUUAUACGGGAAUAAAAAAGGCCACGCGUGGCCUCUUGUAUGUACCGUAUGAAUAAGCAUCGGCUAAUUCCGUGCCAGCAGCCGCGGUAAUACGGAAGAUGCGAGCGUUAUCCGGAUUUAUUGGGUUUAAAGGGAGCGUAGGCGGGUCUUUAAGUCAGUGGUAAAAGCGUGUGGCUCAACCAUACCACGCCAUUGAUACUGGAGACCUUGAGUGCACAUAAGGAUGGUGGAAUUCGUCGUGUAGCGGUGAAAUGCUUAGAUAUGACGAAGAACUCCGAUUGCGAAGGCAGCUGUCCGGGGUGUAACUGACGCUAAUGCUCGAAAGUGCGGGGAUCAAACAGGAUUAGAUACCCUGGUA